AUUGAACGCUGGCGGCAGGCCUAACACAUGCAAGUCGAACGGUAACAGGAAGAAGCUUGCUUCUUUGCUGACGAGUGGCGGACGGGUGAGUAAUGUCUGGGAAACUGCCUGAUGGAGGGGGAUAACUACUGGAAACGGUAGCUAAUACCGCAUAACGUCGCAAGACCAAAGAGGGGGACCUUCGGGCCUCUUGCCAUCGGAUGUGCCCAGAUGGGAUUAGCUAGUAGGUGGGGUAACGGCUCACCUAGGCGACGAUCCCUAGCUGGUCUGAGAGGAUGACCAGCCACACUGGAACUGAGACACGGUCCAGACUCCUACGGGAGGCAGCAGUGGGGAAUAUUGCACAAUGGGCGCAAGCCUGAUGCAGCCAUGCCGCGUGUAUGAAGAAGGCCUUCGGGUUGUAAAGUACUUUCAGCGGGGAGGAAGGGAGUAAAGUUAAUACCUUGACACAUUGACGUUACCCGCAGAAGAAGCACCGGCUAACUCCGUG
rnacentral:rRNA from 1 species